AUUUGUAAAGGAAUUAUGGAUGUGAUGUGAUAUUUUUGGUGGGGUGACGAGGACAACCAAAAGAGGAUGCAUUGGAUGGCUUGGUCGAAAAUGUGUGUUCCAAAGAAUCAAGGAGGGAUGAGUUUUGGCGAUAUUCCCUGUUUCAAUUUAGUGAUGUUGGCAAAGCAGGGCUGGCGCCUUCUUCAGAACCCUGAAUCUCUAUGUGCCACUGUUUUGAGACCGAAAUAUUUUCCUGAUGGCGAUUUACGGAACUCAAAGUAA
rnacentral:rRNA from 1 species